rnacentral:rRNA from 1 species
AGCGAACGCUGGCGGCAGGCCUAACACAUGCAAGUCGAACGAACUCUUCGGAGUUAGUAGCGGACGGGUGAGUAACACGUGGUAACGUGCUUGUAGGGUCGGAAUAACUCAGGGAAACAUGUGCUAAUACCGAAUGUGACCUUCUGGGGGAAGAUUUAUAGCCUUUAGAGCGGCGAGAGUCUGAUUAGCUAGUUGGUGAGGUAAAGGCUGACCAAGGCGACGAUCAGUAGCUGGUCUGAGAGGAUGAUCAGCAAUAUUGGGACUGAUGCACGGCCCAAACUCCUACGGGAGGCAGCAGUGGGGAAUCUUGCGAAAUGGGCGAAAGCCUGACGCAGACAUGCCGUGUGAAUGAUGAAGGUCUUAGGAAUGUAAAAUUCUUUAACCGGGGACGAUAAUGACGGUACACGGAGAAGAAGCCACGGAUAACUUCGUGCCAGCCGCCGCAGUAA